rnacentral:lncRNA from 1 species
GUCCUUUAACUCAGAACUUUGUAGAAAUUCAAAAGAUUUUGUUGAAAAGGACACUUAAAAAUGAAAGCUGUAUACAUUCACCAUAAAGAUAUGUGUAUAAAACAAAAUCCAGAAGUUUCAGUGGUCUUUUUUUUUUUUUUUUUUUGAGAUGGAGUCUCACUCNNNNNNNNNNUUUUUUUUUGAGAUGGAGUCUCACUCCUGUCGUGCAGGCUGGAGUGCAGUGGCGCAAUUUCGGCUCACUCAGCUCAGGAGGUUCGUGCUGCUUGGCAUUCUACUAGAAAGUCUACCUUGUUGGCUCCUCACUUAAGUGCAGAUUCUCUAUUAGAUCUGGAUGCUAGUAAUAGGAUCAUUUUCUAGGGACUCCUAUUGCAUAAAUGUAAAUGUCUGCUGCCCAUCUUGAAGACCAUCGGCAAGCUUUGGUGGGUUUAUAUUCAGUGGCAUUAGGGAUUAAGGCAAACUUAAAAUGAUUCUGAGUGUAAACAGAUANNNNNNNNNNNNNNNNNNNNNNNNNNNNNNNAAAAAAAAAAAAAAAUUACAGGCUUGGGGCAAGGGGAAACAGCAGUAAUGGGGCCUGGGCUGCCCUGAUCAGACACUGAGCUAAUAACUUUUCACACAUUGUCCCAUUUAAUUUCCACAACCUUAAGAGCCAUACCCUAUUUUUAUUUCCAUUUUACAGAAGAGGAAACCAAAGGUAAAGAACAAUUAAGCAACUUGUCCAAGGUCACACAGGGAAAGGGAUGGAACUAAGAUUUGACCUCUGUUAAAACCUACGUUUUUGCAUUCCCUGGAGGAGAAGCCAAUAGAGUCAGGUUUAGGAAGUGGUAGAGAAGCUCUAUCUUCACCCUUUCAGGGUCUGCGUCUCAACCUGCACCUUAAAAAUGAAGGCUUUGGGUUAAGAAAUGGGCACUUAAUCUAUGUGGUUGUGAACAUUAAUUAGAUCCUUAAAAAUCAUUUAAAGUAUUUUGAGAUUCUCAUAUGGUGAGUAUUUUGAAUAUCU